UAAUAACAAAUAAGUUAUUAACAAAUCGGGGGAGGGGGGAAUUGUUUUUUAGUUGGAUUAUAUAUAGUUAAUGGGCAGUUAGCUUACAGAUUUUAAUAUUUCAAUGCAGGUUGGAUAUAGGCACAUUGAUUGUGCUUAAGUUACGACAAUGAGAAGGAGGUGUACUGAUCACAUGCCAGAAGACAUACCAAAGGCAUUAGAUAAAACCUUGCAGGAGUUGCAACUUGACUAUGUGGAUCUGUAUCUAAUCCACUGGCCAGUUAGCAUGGGCAGCGACUGUAUCGGAAGCGACUGUAUCGGAGGCUAUCGGCUCUGGGAGCCAGCGGAGGGAGCGUGGCAGAGACGUUAAAUGGUUACGUCCACAACGGCAAUUCUGUCCAUAAAGCAACUCUCGAAAAGUGCAUUAAGGAGCUCCGCAAGUACGGCAGGUUUCAACAUGCCCUCCAGAUUAAUGUGACAAUAUAUGAUUGGGAUAUAAUUGGGAAAAGCGCUGUUCUUGGUUCGGUGACCGUUCAAGUUGAAAGUGAAGGUCAAACUGGUGCACUGGUGCAGUAUGGCAUACAUUGGAUAGCACGUCAGGGCAGGUUUGUCUAGACAUUAGAACAAUAAAACUGUCCGCAAAUUCUCUCAGGUAGCUUUUUGUUGUACUUUUUUUAAAAAUGUUUUGCGUUUAAUUAUAUUGGUUGACUCAUCAAUCUCUCCUUCUCUCUCUAAAUAUAGACACACACAUAUGUAAUCCCAAAUUGAACUGUUUUUGGUGUACAUGGCUUUGUACUUGUGCAGAGAAUGUACCCUCAUUUUGGAAAUUUUAUGUGUUUUGUAUCCUGGAAAUUGUUAUAGAACAUUUUUAUAUUGUUUGUA